rnacentral:rRNA from 1 species
CAAUAAGCGGAGGAAAAGAAACCAACAGGGAUUGCCUCAGUAACGGCGAGUGAAGCGGCAUCAGCUCAAAUUUGAAAUCUGGCCCUGGCCCGAGUUGUAAUUUGUAGAGAAUGCUUCGGGCGUGGUCCGGUCUAAGUUCCUUGGAACAGGACGUCAUAGAGGGUGAGAAUCCCGUAUAACCGGGUGCCACUGUCCAUGUGAAGCUUCUUCGACGAGUCGAGUUGUUUGGGAAUGCAGCUCAAAAUGGGUGGUAAAUUUCAUCUAAAGCUAAAUACUGGCCAGAGACCGAUAGCGCACAAGUAGAGUGAUCGAAAGAUGAAAAGCACUUUGGAAAGAGAGUUAAACAGUACGUGAAAUUGUUGAAAGGGAAGCGCUUGCAAUCAGACUUGCGCGUGGCUGAUCAUCCGGUGUUCUCACCGGUGCACUCGGUCACGCUCAGGCCAGCAUCGGUUCUGGUGGUUGGAUAAAGGCCUUGGGAAUGUGGCUCCUCCGGGAGUGUUAUAGCCCUCGGUGCAAUGCAGCCUACUGGGACCGAGGACCGCGCUUCGGCUAGGAUGCUGGCGUAAUGGUUGUAAGCGACCCGUCUUGAAACACGGACCAAGGAGUCUAACAUCUAUGCGAGUGUUUGGGUGUCAAACCCAUACGCGUAAUGAAAGUGAACGGAGGUGAGAGCCCUUAAGGGUGCAUCAUCGACCGAUCCUGAUGUCUUCGGAUGGAUUUGAGUAAGAGCAUAGCUGUUGGGACCCGAAAGAUGGUGAACUAUGCCUGAAUAGGGUGAAGCCAGAGGAAACUCUGGUGGAGGCUCGCAGCGGUUCUGACGUGCAAAUCGAUCGUCAAAUUUGGGUAUAGGGGCGAAAGACUAAUCGAACCAUCUAGUAGCUGGUUCCU